rnacentral:rRNA from 1 species
GAUCAUGGCUCAGGAUGAACGCUGGCGGCGUGCCUAACACAUGCAAGUCGAGCGAAGCGCUUUGCUUAGACUCUUCGGAUGAAGAGGAUUGUGACUGAGCGGGCGGACGGGUGAGUAACGCGUGGGUAACCUGCCUCAUACAGGGGGAUAACAGCUAGAAAUGACUGCUAAUACCGCAUAAGACCACAGCACCGCAUGGUGCGGGGGUAAAAACUCCGGUGGU